GUACACUCCUACGGGAGGCAGCAGUGGGGAAUAUUGCACAAUGGGCGCAAGCCUGAUGCAGCCAUGCCGCGUGUAUGAAGAAGGCCUUCGGGUUGUAAAGUACUUUCAGCGGGGAGGAAGGCGAUAAGGUUAAUAACCUUGUUGAUUGACGUUACCCGCAGAAGAAGCACCGGCUAACUCCGUGCCAGCAGCCGCGGUAAUACGGAGGGUGCAAGCGUUAAUCGGAAUUACUGGGCGUAAAGCGCACGCAGGCGGUCUGUCAAGUCGGAUGUGAAAUCCCCGGGCUCAACCUGGGAACUGCAUUCGAAACUGGCAGGCUAGAGUCUUGUAGAGGGGGGUAGAAUUCCAGGUGUAGCGGUGAAAUGCGUAGAGAUCUGGAGGAAUACCGGUGGCGAAGGCGGCCCCCUGGACAAAGACUGACGCUCAGGUGCGAAAGCGUGGGGAGCAAACAGGAUUAGAAACCCGUGUAGUCCCAUGAU
rnacentral:rRNA from 1 species